ensembl:lncRNA
CAAGUAAUGUAAGGCAAUGAAGUCUUCGUGUGUGUAGUGAUAGGUUAAAUUGUUUUCAGUCACCUGAAAGAGCCAAAGUUGAAGCUAAUAAUCUUUGGGCAGUUUUCAUCAACUACAAAGCUUUCAUCUUGAAGGAAGUUAGAAACAGUGAAGACAACAGACAAAAAGGUAAUCACUUGCAAAGACAAAUGAUUUUUGAAAUUAACAACAUUCUGUGUUGAAGUGACCUCAGUCAAAAAGACGACUUUAUUAUUAACAGCAACAGUUACAUGUUUCGUGCUUUAACAGUGUUGUGGCUCCUGAAUUACUGGACUGAUGGUGGAGAGGAGACUCCUCUGGUGCCUGCCGUGGGUGAGAGUUUGUAGGAGCUGUGCCAACUGAUAAAAGAAGAACAUCUACAAGAUGAGAUUUUUUUUUUCAACAUACAAGUCCUGCCCAAGCAUUUCCUUCCAAAAACACAUUGCUAGUGUGUUGGAGACAGGACAUGGGCAAGUCGUACAUGAUUUGUCUAAGAGUGAGACCAGGCUUAUCGUAUCCAAAUGCUGUUUUGUAACAUGAUUUUGCCAAAGAGUACAUUUGUGUUUGAUUUCAGCUUAUUUCCCUGCCACUGUAUGAGACCACUCCAAGUUCUUUGGCUUCAGUGACGUGACAGCUGCAACCUCAGCUCAUGGAACGUGCUUCCAAAACUAACUGAGAAUUGAUUCAUUUGGUAGGAGCUUCAGGACAGUUAGGUUGGAGAUCCCUGUAGCCUGGUGGAAAUCCCAUUGGCUUUCUCCAUUGGCUUUUUUCAGUGUUCUGCACAGUACUGGAACAUGGUGCUUUGGUGCACAGCAAACAAAACACAUGGUACAGCUGUGCUGCCGACCGUGCUGCAGGUGGCGAUGCUGCACCAGGACUGAGCCGAGCUCCAGCUCCAGAAAAUCGAGAAUCUUACAGCAAAGUCUUUUGGCCUCUCAUACAGGAGAUAGGAGCGCAUCCAGCAUGGUACCGGUUAAUAUCGUCUUAGAUGACGGUUUGGGAAUACCAAUGGGAGAAAUUGGACAAAUGUGUGUUGCCGAGAGCAGUCAGCUGGAGAUAUUUGGACACUUGAAAGAUCCUCAGAAACUGCUUUUGGAGGACCUUGGGCCUGUGCUGAAAGGGGUGAGCAUCUCUGGGAGAGCUUUCCUCUUGCUGGCACAAAUCGCUGCAUCCUGAGCUGCCAUGCAUUGCUGGCUCUGCUGGGCCGCCCCUGCUCUCCACACCCCCCUCUGCUGCUUUGGCUGCUGCUGCUGUGCAGUAGCUGAGCUGAGCCCUAAAAGCUGAUAUGGCUUGGAAUGGGCCAAGCCAGGAAGCAAAUGCAAGGUAAAGCAAGAGGUGGGGGGGGAAAAAAAAAUAGAAAGAGGCCCGAGCAGAAAAGGCGUUAAAAGUAAUGAUAAUAAUAAUUAUAUUAUUAAUGACAGAAUGUAAUUAAUUGGCUGCUAAUGAAUUUUAUAAGCACCAUAAAAUUGCCAUAACAGCCUAAUUGCUUUGCUAGUCUUGCCAGCAGCCAAUGAGAACAUCAAGUGCUCUAAUCCCCUUUACUUCGGUGUGGGAGGCAGCAGUGCGGGAGGUGCCGGCUCUGCGGGCUGCAUCACGGUG